rnacentral:rRNA from 1 species
CCUACGGGAGGCAGCAGUAGGGAAUUUUCGUCAAUGGGCGCAAGCCUGAACGAGCAAUGCCGCGUGAACGAGGAAGGUCUUCGGAUCGUAAAGUUCUGUUGAUGGGGAAAAAGAGCGGAGCGAGGAUAUGCUUUCUGAUUGAUAUUACCCUUCGAGGAAGUCACGGCUAACUCCGUGACCGCCGCCGCGGUAAUACGUAGGUGGCGUGCUUUGUCCGGAUUGAUGGGGCGAAAGGGGUGCGUAGGCGGCCUGCUAGGGCUGGAGUGACAGGUGCCGGCACAACCGGGACAGGCGGUGGAAACUGGCGGGCUAGAGAGCAGGGGAGGGCGGUGGAACUCCAUGUGUAGCGGUAAAAUGCGUAGAUAUAUGGAAGAACACCAGUGGCGAAGGCGGCCGCCUGGCCUGUUACUGACGCUGAGGCACGAAAGCGUGGGGAGCAAACAGGAUUAGAUACCCGGGUAGUC